rnacentral:lncRNA from 1 species
GGGGGCUCGCGCCAGCCACGAGGGAGCGUCCGCGGCCCGCGCGCCCGCGCGGCGGAGGAGAGAAUCAUUUCCAUUUUCGGUGCAGGUGUUAAGUGUGAUGCUUCCAUAAUACAUUUGGAUGCUGUCAGCUAAGUUCACUUCUGAACUAAGGGGUUCCUCCAAAUGUUGGCUGAAAUUCAUCCCAAGGCUGGUCUGCAAAGUCUGCAAUUCAUAAUGGAGCUACUGUACUGGCUAUUGGAAGGAGGAGAUUCUGAAGAUAAGGAGGUAAAACCUGUUUAGAAAUUAAAAAUGAGUUACGAUUUAAAGAAAAUUCAGAUGACUCAUUGUGAGUGCUAGUUCUCUUGUAGGAUGCCACUGGAAAUGUUGAAAUGAAAAAUAUUCAGCCGUUGGUCUUUGAAAUUUCCUGUGAUGUGUUUCAAUCUAGAUGCAAAGAACAUGGAAAAAUCAAAGUGCUCGAGUGGUUUAAAUAUGUUUUGGGUAUUCCUGUUUAUAGACUAUAAUACUUUUCCAAUUAAAAUCCUCAGUUGUCACGCAGAAGAAGGUUAAGCUGUAUUUGAUUGCCAGUUUUACUGAAAAUGCUUAGUAUUUUACAGUAUCACCAAAUAUAUUUUGUUUAGCCAAGGUAUAGGAAAAAUAAAAUAAAUUGUAUAGGUUGA